UACAGAGGGUGCGAGCGUUGUUCGGAAUUACUGGGUGUAAAGGGUUCGUAGGCGGUGCGGCAAGUUGGGAGUGAAAUCUCUGGGCUCAACCCAGAGGCUGCUUCCAAAACUGCUGUGCUUGAGUGUGGGAGAGGUGCGUGGAAUUGCAGGUGUAGCGGUGAAAUGCGUAGAUAUCUGCAGGAACACCCGUGGCGAAAGCGGCGCGCUGGACCACUACUGACGCUGAGGAACGAAAGCUAGGGGAGCAAACAGG
rnacentral:rRNA from 1 species